GUGACAGCCCUGGAGACUGAUGUCUUCUCUUUAUACAUAGAGCAGGUACAGCAUGACUAGAAGUCUUUCAAGAUUCCCCCAGUGCUUCUCCUAACCCCAGACAUGGAGAGAUUCCCUCUAAUGUAGAGAAGAUAGGCUAAGGAAUGAUUAGAUAUACAGACUGA
rnacentral:sRNA from 1 species